GUCGACCAUCUCGGUGUACCUGGAGAGAGCCUUGGCACUGUUGUCAGGGACGAGGCCCGAGAAUAGCCUCUCCUUACUGGCAUCCAAUACUUCAGCCAUGGGCAUGGGCUUGACAAGUGAAGCAGCUGGUAAAGCAGUCAGUGAACUAGCUUGAGGGACCCGCAUGAGAUAGACCCUGUCAUUCUCCUUCACAGCUCUCUCUAAGUUACGGUUCAGAUUGCUCUCCAACUUAGAGACGGCAUCAAGGAGAGCAGCAGCAACUCCCUUGGCAGUUUUCUUUGCAUCGGUCAGAGCACUAAUCCCAAUCUUCAGCCGCGCAAUUUCCUCUGCAAUGUCUUCUUUCUCAUGUAGUUCCAAAGCAUAUCUGUAGCAAGACUCAGCGUAAAAUUGUGCCGCCUUCAACUGCACGUGAGAUAUCCACGACCUGUCAAAGUGCUGGUUGAGAGGAGCAGCAUUCAGUGCUGCAUAUGCUUCCUCGUAAUAGAGGCCAACCUGGCGGGCGAGCUUAGAGCAGAGCCCGGGCGGCUUCCCAUCGGCAAUCACCUUCUCAAAGAAGCACUCCUGCGCCUGUGCCAGCAUGAGCCGCUCCAACAUCCCAGCGCACUCCGCCGACACAUCAAGAGUCGCACCCCCUGCCGCCGCAACUCUCGG
rnacentral:misc_RNA from 1 species